rnacentral:rRNA from 1 species
CCUACGGGUGGCAGCAGUGGGGAAUAUUGGACAAUGGGCGAAAGCCUGAUCCAGCCAUGCCGCGUGUGUGAAGAAGGCCUUCGGGUUGUAAAGCACUUUCAGUGUGGAAGAAAGCCUUGGGGCUAAUACCCUCGAGGAAGGACAUCACCCACAGAAGAAGCACCGGCUAACUCCGUGCCAGCAGCCGCGGUAAUACGGAGGGUGCGAGCGUUAAUCGGAAUUACUGGGCGUAAAGCGCGCGUAGGCGGUCUGAUAAGCCGGUUGUGAAAGCCCCGGGCUCAACCUGGGAACGGCAUCCGGAACUGUCAGGCUAGAGUGCAGGAGAGGAAGGUAGAAUUCCCGGUGUAGCGGUGAAAUGCGUAGAGAUCGGGAGGAAUACCAGUGGCGAAGGCGGCCUUCUGGACUGACACUGACGCUGAGGUGCGAAAGCGUGGGUAGCAAACAGGAUUAGAUACCCUGUAGUC